rnacentral:rRNA from 9 species
GGUCAAGCGAAAGAAUAG